UCAAGUAAUCUUCCUGCCUUGGCAUCUCAAAGUCCUGGGAUUACGGGUGUGAACCACUGUGCCCAGCCUAUACUGAGAUAUGUCUUAUGAUGAUCACUGAUCACUCUUGCUGCUUUGUGAAGAACGGAUUUGGAGGGAGAGUAGAAGUAGAAAGACCAGUUCACAGGCCAUUGCCAAUCUGAAAACUUGAGUAUGGGCAGAUCUGAUAUUCUCCAUGUAGAUUACAGCCAAAUAAUCCUUCAUCAAAGCUUGCAACACAAUAUUGCUCAUAAGAACAAUUUUUUUGAUAAAGCAACUUCUCAUUCUAAGUCCUACAAAACAGGUCUAUGUCCUGGCCCCACUUUAUUUUACCUUUAAUCCAAAUAAUUUACUUCUGCUAUUAACUAAAAUGAACUCAUGCUCUGUUUUCCACAGCAUUUGGGGACUUCCUCCAUUAUACUGAUGACAUGGUUUUAGAGUCAGGAACUCAGAGUGGCCUUGAGAAGAAGCUAAAACAUUUGGUAACAACAAUCAGAAAGAACAAUCUCAGGUAAUUCAGGAACUCCAGCAGCCAUUUUGGACCAUGAAGGGAUCUUGGGAAUGGAAGCCAUUCGUGGUACAACAACAUGCUAGAAGGAGUCUGGUCCCUGGUCUAGAAGAUGAGUGAAAAAUAAACUUCUACCUUAUUGAA